GUGGGGAAUAUUGGACAAUGGGCGAAAGCCUGAUCCAGCAAUGCCGCGUGAGUGAUGAAGGCCCUAGGGUUGUAAAGCUCUUUUACCAGGGAUGAUAAUGACAGUACCUGGAGAAUAAGCUCCGGCUAACUCCGUGCCAGCAGCCGCGGUCAUACGGAGGGAGCUAGCGUGGUUCGGAAUUACUGGGCGUAAAGCGCGCGUAGGCGGUUUUUUAAGUCAGAGGUGAAAGCCCGGGGCUCAACCCCGGAAUUGCCUUUGAAACUGGAAAACUUGAAUCGUGGAGAGGUCAGUGGAAUUCCGAGUGUAGAGGUGAAAGUCGUAGAUAUUCGGAAGAACACCAGUGGCGAAGGCGACUGACUGGACAAGUAUUGACGCUGAGGUGCGAAAGCGUGGGGAGCAAACAGGAUUAGAAACCCCAGUAGUCC
rnacentral:rRNA from 1 species